UACGUAGGGGGCAAGCGUUGUCCGGAUUCAUUGGGCGUAAAGAGCGUGUAGGCGGCCAGGUAGGUCGGUUGUGAAAACUGGAGGCUCAACCUUCAGAGGUCGACCGAAACCAUCUGGCUAGAGUCCGGGAGAGGAGACUGGAAUUCCUGGUGUAGCGGUGAAAUGCGUAGAUAUGCGGAGGAACACCGAUGGCGAAGGCAAUCCCCUGGGCCUGCACUGACGCUCAUGCACGAAAGCGUGGGGAGCAAACAGG
rnacentral:rRNA from 1 species